UUAAUAAUAAUAAUAAAAAAAAACACAAUAGCAAUAUUUCUGUACCAGAGAAACGAGAAACUCAUUCAUCGUCCUCACGCAAAACGGCUCUCACUCUCGACAUCCUUUAAACUCUCAAUCUCUCGUUAACUCUCAAUCGGCUUGCACCAACCUCACGAUACACCACUCCCAAUCUCACUCUAAACGCGAAAACCAAUGGUUUCGAAAGAAGAUCCAGUAAGAAAACUCACCUUUGGCGGUGAUUUGACGGCGGUGGUGAGCUUGUAUCUUCUUCUCCUUGGUAGGUUCUUUCACGCCGUCACCAAAAUCAGGGUUUCAGAUUGGCCUCUGGAGAUCAAAAAAGGGGUCUCUGCGAAAUCCUUUCGGUAUGCUCAGUUUGGAUUGCCCUACUUGAUGUUAAAUCGGAAACGUAAAAAUUUGUGAAAAGAAACACUUCGGUUAUUUGCAAAGCUCAACUAUUGCUACUGCCAUGAACUUCUAGGUGUGGAGAAGUGCUAGCUAUCAAGAAUGAAAAUCAGUUCUGUUAUAAGCUAAUGUUAAUGUUAGUAGGUGUUGCCGGUUGAAUAUGUUGUUGCUAAUGUGUUUGCUGUUGGCUUCGAGAAACGGCGGCUGCGUUUGAAAUUAUGUCGCUUAAAUACAGGUUUUGUGGGUUAGUUAGAGGUGUUAGAAAUAUGGUGGAGAAUUCCAUUAAAAAAAGAGGGGUUCUGUUUUUUGAACUGAGCUUCUAAAAGAUUCUAAUGUUAUAUUAACAGUUAGUAAAUAAAUUGUUGUUAUUCGUGAUCGUUAUUAUCAUACUGAAAGAGAUUAAUCUUCUGUUAUCACGCUGAUUUUCCUGAUUGCAUUGUAAUGUUUACAAGGAGUUUGUUGUGAAACUGAUAUGAGCCAUUGCCACCAGGUUAUUCUGUUAUGAACCUUGUAGGGAAUGUUGGCUUUAAUGUUGCAGCAACAAGUCUACAUCCAAUCACAGUUGACACGGAUAAGAUAUACUCUGCGGUAAGCGGCACGAAUUGGUGCGAGCUCCAAAACCUGGUGCUACAAGGCUUCACUUGGUCUAUGCUUUUGUUUUGGCACGAUGAUGCAACAUGUUCGCUUACAUCAUAAUGCUUGUUCAGGAUCUUUCCAUCAAGAUCAAGAGAGAACAAAUCCGAAUGACAAAUCUUGAAUCUCUUCAUUGGCAGCGGUAACCGUGUUGUCGGGACAAAAGCUGCUAUUUGGACUUGAUAAUGAUGUGAUGAGGUCCUUGGAAGAUGCAGGUCCUCGGGACAGAAUCUCUUCAUUCGCGCUGUUGUAUUUGUAAGAUGCAGGUCUUGGAAGUACUGCAUUUGAGGUUAUGGCUGGGACAAGGGAUCAAAUACUAUUUUUGAUCAACCUAUUGGGACAGGUUUUAGCUAAAGUUUUGAUGAAGGUGAUAUUCUUACUGAUGGAACUGGUGUUAGCAAUGACUUAUACGCUUUUUUGCAGGCAUUUUUAAGGAACACCCUCAAUUGGUUAAGAAUGACUUUUAUAUUACUGGAGAAUCAAAUGCUGGACACUAUAUUCCAGCUCUCGCAUCCCGGGUUCACAAAGGAGACAAAAACAAAGAAGGAAUUAUUAUAAACUUCAAGGUCUUACAAUAUCCUAAUGUUGCAUUUGACAGUGAUUCAUUCCCAAAUGAAAGAUCUUAAUGCAACCUUUAAUAUAUGUCGUAUUUUUUUAUGUUUUGAUUCUUUUGAUUUCAUUAAAAUUACAGCGUUUUGCCAUUGGUUUAUGGAGUAUUUGGAAUUGGUUGAAGUGAUUGUAAAGAAUAAGAAUGGUUGUAACUUUGGGAUUGGAAAUUGUAUAUUUGGUUAUAAAAAAUGGAUAUGGAUUUUAGAAAUAA